ensembl:lncRNA
AUGCCAAGAGAAAGAAGGUGGUAUUCUCCAGCUUCUCAUAUAGAGAAUAGGUCCACAGGGCAAGAUGUGGCCAUGUGGUCAGGGCUGGGGUCCUGUCUUCCCACCCCCCACCUCUCUUCAUCCAUCCCCGCUCUGCUCGGCUCCCCCAUCAUGCUCCUUUCCAGCACCUGGCACAGCACGGCCCCCAGGGGCUCCCUGGGGACCUGGCUCCCCCGCGGGCCCACCAGAAAGGAGAUGAUUCAGACGGCGCUGCUGCUCACGGCCGAGGAGAGGCGGAUUGAGUGGCGGAACAGACUUUCCCUGCACUGGGGCGUUUCCAGCCAGAAGAGGGAGAACCAGGCGAUGCGGAAGGGCAAGGGGCAGAGGAUGAGGCUGGGCCGGGUCAUCCCGGGCGUGAGGACCCCGUGAUGACGAUGUUGGAGACGGGGGCUGCGGUGAAGCGGUCCAGUUCUUCAGAAGACAAACGCUGCACCAGAAGAGGAAGGCGAGCCAGCUCAGCAGGAAGGAGCACCCAGAGCAGGGCGCACACCGUGGACCCCAGGGGCCGGGGCUGCUGACCCUUGUACCAGACGGGGAAGAGGACGGAGAUGCCGUGCCACUCGCCAUCAGCAGGCUCAGGCUGUGCAGGCGAAGUACGUCGCUCUGUGCAUCACCUUGGAGGCCACGGCGCCUGCGCGCAGCAGCAGGAAGCUCUCCAGGCUGAGUGUGGAGGCCACGCAGAGGAGGAAGAGCAGGUCGGCCCCGGCAGGUGGAGGACAUAGAGGCCGAAGGGGCCCCUCUGCCUGUGGAAGCCCAGCAGGACGACCACCAGGCUGUUGCCCAUGAGGCUGGCCAUACAGGUGGGAAUGACCAGCGUGCUGAAUGCCCAGUCGGCUGUACCUGGCCGGAUCACCUCGGCACGGCUCCAGUUGCAUGCCAGGGUCUCGCUGCCAUUCAGAAUCUCACUCAUCCUAUGGAAGGGAGAUGGACCAGUGUGAGACUCUGUGUUGCUUGGACCCUGGGGGACUCCUGGGAGCCCCCAGCUCAAUGUUCCUCCUUCAGGGCUCUCACCCUGGGCUCUUUUAUUUAAAAAAAAAAAAAUUAAAUGACUCUGUUAAUAAUUUUUUUCUUUUUAGCUGCGCCCGCAGCAUGUGAAAGUUCCCCGGCCAGGGAUCGAACGCUCGCCAGAGCAGCAACUCAAGUCACAGCAGUGGAAGCGCCAGGUCCUUAACCCGCUGAACCACCCUGGGAACUCCCCCUGGGCUUCUUUUUGCUACAGACCACGACCCCAUUCCCCUGGCUCCCACCACACCUGGUUCUGCCAGGGGGUCCCCCAAGGCACCCUCAGAAUUGUUCUAGAUGCCCUUUGUCAAGUUAAGAGUUUCUCUUCUAUUUUGUUUCAUCAGUUUUUUUCAGCAUAAAGAGAUAC